rnacentral:rRNA from 1 species
GUCGAACGCUGGCGGCGUGCCUAAUACAUGCAAGUCGACCUUAGUGGCGAACAAGUGAGUAACACGUGGGUAACCUGCCCGUCUAAAGGGGAUAACACUUGGCAACUAGUGCUAAUACCGUAUACGGAAGGAUGGAGCCGCGGGACAUAAGCUAGUGGGUGAGGUAACGGCUCACCAAGGCCACGAUGCAUAGCUGAACUGAGAGGGUGAUCGGCCACACUGGGACUGAGACACGGCCCAAACUCCUACGGGAGGCAGCAGUAGGGAAUAUUCGGCAAUGGACGAAAGUCUGACCGAGCAACGCCGCGUGAGUGAAGAAGGUUUUCGGAUCGUAAAACUCUGUUGGUAGAGAAGCGGUAUCUAACCAGAAAGCACCGGCUAACUACGUGCCAGCAGCCGCGGUAAUUC